AUUUCACACACAUUUAUUGGUAGAGCAUUGUCUGCCAAUGUAGGGAGUCUGAUACACACAUGUUCCUCCCAUUUUAUACCCAUUGGCCUGACUACAUAUGACCUCUUGGCUAGUAUUUGGGAAGCUCUCCCUGUGUGUAUUCUCCAAAGGUUCCAAAUAAGAGUCCUCACUACUUUUUUGCCCCUGUCUCAAUCCAAACCUUAAAUCUAUAUUGUAAACCUACACAGUGUGCAUAUUUAAGGGGAUGUUGACUUAUACAUUCAAUUACCAAUGGUACACUGGCAUAUGUCAUUAUAUAUUGAUUUAUAUGAUAUAUCUGUGCAUCCCAUAAUUUAAAAAUAUGAAUCCAAGUUACACAUCUAGUGCUCUUCUGUGUUUUAGAUCUUACAUAUUUUAUAUAUUUUUAUAGAUAUUUGUCAUAUAUACAUUCUUAUGAAUAUUCAUGUUUUCUAAUAUCAAUUUUAUUAUUGCAUUACAAUUACUCCUACCCCAAAACAAAAUGUAAUGUUGACUCUAACCUUACUCCAUUACUUCAAUCUUAUUUGACAAAAGAGCAUUUAUAGAGUUGAUCUUGCAGUACAGGAAUGUGGGGUAUCAUCCACCUGCUGCAAACCUCAGAGGUGGAGACCAGAAAGAUCCCUGGGGAAUAUUAAGGCAGAUAUGUAGGCCCUGAGAGGCAUAAUGUCAUCUUCCAGGCCAAAAAAAAAAAAAAAACAUGGUCAGAAUGAGGUGAUAUGUCUGAAUCAAGUUUUGUCUUCUCAGUCCAGGGAAGAUGGACAAAACCAGGCCUGUCUGGGUACUUGAUCCUGGGCAUGUUGGUGUAACUUUGUCAACUUGUGAAAUGUCACAGGAAGAUGUGUGCAACCUCCAUCUCAUGGGGCCCUGGUCAUCACCUGGGAGAAGAGGAAAAAUGCAUCAGUGGAUGUGUCCUGUCUAGUGGAAACCUUCCAAGCACUCAUUCUGGCAAAUUAAUGAAUGGACUACUGCUUUCCUUGUGGAUGGGGAACACCUACUAUGUCCAUGAUUUUUUUCUAUCCCUCUAAUUCUUGGCUGCUACCCAGAAGGUGCACAUAGGUUCCUGUAAAAGAUAUGUUCCACCCCCAAGCUCUCUGAAGUGGCCAUAUAUUGGCUUGGUGAAGGGAAGCCAGAGCAUCACUGUGAAAUUCAGAAAUCACUGUGAAAGGUAAGAUCUUCAGAGGAGAGCCCAGCCUGCAUAUGCUCUACAGAGAAGUCAUCCAAGUAGAAUGAGCAGUAGGAGUAAAUGCUAUAGUCUUGGUCCUGUGGAAAACUCUGUGAAGGGCUUUGUUGUUCCCUAUUGUUAUGUUCCCAUGAAAGUGAACAAUUUCUUUGCCUCAGGCCUCUCUUUUGUGAAGCCUCAGGAAAAGCUGUUUCAAACGUGAAAGCACUUUUUAGCUUCCCUUGUUCUCAGGAAGUUUGUGAACCCACCGUGCCUUUAGGCAAAUCAGGGGCACUGGAUAUUACAUUUGCCAAAGUCCUGGAAUUCUCUAGGUGAUAAAAGAUCCAGCCAGAUAUUGAUGAGGCAUGGCUACAUGAAAGAAGAUGAGUAGACUUUGGGCCAUGAGGGAGGGUUCUUGUUUUAAGUGUGGGUAUUUGUGUAGUUGUUGUAAGUGAUGACAGGGUAAACCUCAGGUUCCACUCUAGUGUGAACCUCAGUGGAGACCUCAGUUGUGGGGCUUACCCAGUAGAGGGAUUACAGCGAGUUGUUUGGUAUUUUAGGUAUCUAAGUCACAAGAGGUAUCCUUAAGAACUUACAGCUAGGUCCGGUGUGGAUUUCUCCAGAGCACUAGGGAUCUCAGCCAUGAGUUCACACAUUUUUUUCUGUAGAGCCUUGUCAACCAAAGUUGAGAGCCUGAUACACACAUGUACCUCACAUUUUAUGCCCAUUGGCCUGACUGCAUGUGACCUCUUGGCUAGUAUUUGGGAAGCUCUCCCUGUGUGUGUUCUCCAGAGGUUCCAACUAAGAGUCCUCAAUACUUUUUUGCCCCGUCUCAAUCCAAACCCUGCAGGACAACUUACUUCAUUCUUGACAUAUGGCUAUACCUUUACCCAAACAGUUUUGAAAUUCCCAUGGCCAAGAACCACUAGAGCACCUUAGGAACUUCUGUUGCUCAUCAUGAUGGGAUAAAAGAAGAACUUUAUUGUGAGGAACUCAUUAAAAUUCUAGGUAACACAGACACCAGUGAUUUUGAGCUCUCUGAUAAUGGGGCCUGUGGCAGAUGAGUGAAGGUGUGUGCAAAGAAAUCUGUGCAACGGCCAUGUGGAUCUGGCAUUUCCUUCCAAACAGCAUGUCACUGACAUUAUGCAGCAAGCACAUCCUCAUAUGUCAAGGUAUUUUGUUGUAGUGGUUCAGGGCUAUGCUCAGAAUCAUGUUUCUACUCUGAAUUGGGAAAGGUGUAUAGGAUAGCAGACAAGAUGGUAUUUUCUCCUGGAGGCCAUGAUUCACCAUGAUUUGCUAUAACUCCUUGCACCACCAUGUCCCAGUUGAACAACUUCUAUUUUCUUGAAUCAAAUACCAAAUUCCCUGUGAUGGUUCAAGAACCACCAUAAAAACUGGAGGAUGUCCCAAUGGCUUCACAAUCCACAUUGGGAGACAUUUAGCCCCUAGUAGCAACAGUUCACCUCCAGGAAGAGGAUUCAUCUCUGCUGCCUUAUGUCCACUGGAAAAUACAAAAAAUGCCUCUGUUUCAACCCAAAUUCCACACUACCUCUUACUUCAUUCUUGAAAUAUGGCUAUAUCUAUAGCUUGAAAAAUUGGAAAUUCCCAUAACCUAGAACCACUGGAGCACUUUAGGAGCUUCUUAUUGCUCAUCAUGACUGAAUGAGAAGGGGAAUUCAUUGACAGAAACUCAUGAAAAUGCUGGAGAUUACAGAACCAGUGAGUUUGAGCAUGCUGAUGAUGGGGCCUGGGGCAUUGGAGAGGAGGUGUGUGUCAAGAAAUCUGUGCCAAAACCAUGAGGAUGUGGUAUUGGCUUCCAAACAGCAUGUUUCUCAAAUCAUGCAGCAAGCAGACCCUCCUAAGUCAAAGCAUCCUGUUGUCGAGAUUGGAUUGGAACUACGCUCAGAAUCAGGGUUCUAGUCUGAGUUGGGAACAUAUAUGGGAUAGCAGUCAGGCUGAUGUUUUCUCCUGCAGAUAUUGAUUCACCACCUGUGAUGUAACUAUCUUCAGCACUAUGUCCCAAUUGACCUUUACAUUCUUCUUCAAGCAAAUAUCAAACUUCCUGUGAUGGCAUUAGAACCAUUGUGAAAGCUCGAGGAUGGCCCAAUGGCUUCACAUUGCACACAUGAAGACAUUAAGCCCCAAGUGGCCAAAGUUCACCUCCAGGAAGAGGAUUCAGCUCUCCUGCCUCAUGCACAUUAAAGAACAGAAAACUAUGUCUUUCUCCAGUUCACACAAAUGGAGAUCCAGCUAUGAUUAUCUUACUGCCAAGGGAGGCAAGGCUCCUGACAACAAUACAAAUUUCAAGUACCAAAACUUAGAGACAGGCUGUCAAGAAACUAUUAGGCCAGCACACCUCCAUGUUUGUGGAAGGUUUACCUGUACCUUAAUUUUAUACGCUUUUCUGCCAACUCCAUCAUUGUGAGCUUCUCAGCAUACCCCAUUCCAGAUAACCCACCUCAGAUAUCAUUCUUCUCCCUCUCUACUUGUGUUUUAUUUGGGGCCAUGGAAAUUUUAUGUCAUUGCUUAUGAUGGCAUUUUGGAAAUACAUUUGCAUAGCACAUGCUUGCAUGACCUUGUAGGAAUUUUCUUAUUUUAUUUAUCAUUCAUGUAUUCAAUUUCUUACCCUAACCCUAACCCUACUAAAUAUUGACUACAUUUCAUAAUAUUAUUGGUAAAACUAAACAUAAUAGAAAAGAAAUACAGCUAAACCAGAUGAGGCCUUACAUAUAUUUGGAAUUGCCUUUUCCAUUUUGAUUGUUAGGUGUUACCAAAUUAGUCACAUAUUCAUUAAAACACUUAUCCAUAAGUCCUCAAAUUGAAAAAAAAAAUGUAGAAUAUCCUUACUCUCACUACAAUGUAGCCUGGGACAGAACACAUAUUUUCAUAUACAUACAUAUUUUCAUAGAUGAUUCCACAUAUAUAUUCUUAUGGUUUCCCUGAUGUUGGAAGGUACCAAUUCUCUAAGCACAACAUUCAGCAUCAAGUUGGGCUGGAAAUAAAAAUUCAACCUAACAUGACCUCCAUCACAGGACAAGGAUUGACAUGAAAGCAGUGAAGGUAAAUGAAUAUUUAUGUGUACUUUGAAGGUUGUAUAUUCUAUUAUCAAUGACAUGUAUCCAUAUCUAUUCAUAUCUAAUAGACUAAUAAGUCUAUUAGUAUAGACUUAUGUAUAUAAUGGAGAUACAGGGCACAAAUUAUGCAAUAUUGAAUAGGUGAAUAACUCUGUACUCUGACCUGAGUUGAUAGUGUGUAUUUACAUGGACUCUUAUGCAUACUUUCACAAGCUCAUUCCAACAAAUAUUCAUAUUUCCUGCUAUACAUAGUCAUUUUCUCAUACUCACUCUAACCUCAUUCAAUAUUGAAUAGUUACCCUAAUUUUGCCACAGUAACUAUACCUAAUGAUAUGGAUAUUGAUUUAUGCAUUCCUUAUCAUUGGUACAUAGCCCUUAAUUUAGUUCAUAUUCAAUCUAUGAUAUAUCCAAUCAACCCCAUAUUUAAAAUUGUGUAUACAUAUGAUUGACUUUAAAUAAUUUCUUGUUUUAGAACACAUAUAUUCAUACAUGUGUUCUUACUUAUUUUCAUAUGAAUAUUCUUCUGAUCAUACAUCAUAUUUAGUAAACACAUUCAUUUUCUAAGCAAAACCCAAAUAAACUCAUUAUGUGUAAUGAUUCUUAAUGUAACCACAAUACUUAGAUCUACUUUGAAUUUAUGCAUAUUCAUGAAUAUCAGAUUGUGUGCAUAUUUUUAUAAUAUUUUUUAAAGAGAGGGAGAGAGAGAGAGAAUAUUUUAAUAUUUAUUUUUUAGUUUUUGGUGGACACAACAUCUUUAUUUUAUUUUUAUGUGGUGCUGAGGAUCAAACCCAGCGCCCUGUGCAUGCCAGGUGAGCACACUACCACUUGAGCCACAUCCCCAGCCCAUUGUGGGCAUAUUUAAAUCACAGUUUCAAAUUUCCCUUUUAUGUUUGCAUGAAAAAUAUUAUGUAUUCAUCUUAGCAUACAUACAUGCAUCAACUGGAUAAAAAUUGUGAUAUAUAAAACACUCCAUAUAUCUUCCCCUAUCGAAAAACUCUAACGUGUACAUUUUCCAAUAUUUGCACAAGUAUGGUGAAAAAAAAGACUCAUGUUAUCUGACAUACAUCUUCAUUUCAUAAAAGAAACCUUACUGACACAAAAUUCAAUAUUAAUCCUGAACUUUUGUUUGUACCACACCUGAACUUUAAAAGAAAUCCUGUAUUCCUAUGAAUGUACAUGUGUAUGUUGAGCAAUCCAUUCAAUAUUCAAUGAUAUUGGUGCCUACA